rnacentral:rRNA from 1 species
UGGGGAAUAUUGGACAAUGGGGGGAACCCUGAUCCAGCCAUGCCGCGUGUGUGAAGAAGGCCUUAUGGUUGUAAAGCACUUUAAGUGAGGAGGAGGGUACUGGUAUUAAUACUACCAGGUACUGGACGUUACUCGCAGAAUAAGCACCGGCUAACUCUGUGCCAGCAGCCGCGGUAAUACAGAGGGUGCGAGCGUUAAUCGGAUUUACUGGGCGUAAAGCGUGCGUAGGCGGCUAAUUGAGUCGGAUGUGAAAUCCCCGAGCUUAACUUGGGAAUUGCAUUCGAUACUGGUUAGCUAGAGUGUGGGAGAGGAUGGUAGAAUUCCAGGUGUAGCGGUGAAAUGCGUAGAGAUCUGGAGGAAUACCGAUGGCGAAGGCAGCCAUCUGGCCUAACACUGACGCUGAGGUACGAAAGCAUGGGGAGCAAACAGG